UCUUAAAACAUGUUUUAUUUUAUGAUAAUUGUUGUUGAAUACUUCUAAUCUAUCAGAUUAAGUUUAAUAAGUUGUUUUUCUAGAUGGUUGUAUAAAUUUUUCUAAUAGAACAUGUUUAAUCUAAUAUUAUAAUAAUUAACAAAGUUUUAAAAUUUUCUUGUAUAAGGUGUUUUACAAGAGUCUAUUCUAAUUAUGUAAUUCAAAAUUGUAUGAUACUUUAAUUAAUUGAUCUUAUAGAUGAAUGUCUAAAUAUAUUUUUAUACACACCAUAAACCAUAUUGAUCACAUAUACACCAUUUUACUACUAGCAAAGAUGCUACAUAAAAAAAAUCAAUAUGUAAUUAUAAUAAUAAUAAUAAUAAUAAUAAUUUUGUAUUUUUUUUGCUAGUACCAAAAAGAUAAUCUUUAAAUUAUAUAAAGAAAUUUAAUUAAAUAGCUUUAAAUAAAUCUUACUAUUAAAGUUAGUCAAGUCUUAUUCCUUAUUAUAUAUAUUAGGUAAACUUCUUGUCAAGUUUAAUAAAAUUAGCUUUAUUGCUAAGCACUAGCCAAUUAUCAAAGAUCCAAGAAGAGACUCUAUAUUCAUUAAUUGAUUUAAGACCAAUGAAGAAUAUAUCAAAUUAAAUGCCAAUUUUAUUAAAAAG
rnacentral:lncRNA from 1 species